rnacentral:rRNA from 1 species
UAAGCAAGUAGUGAAAGCGUGGGGCUCAACCUCAUAUCCAUUAUUUGAACUGCUAAGCUCGAGGGCGAGAGAGGUUACUAGAAUUCCUUGUGUAGGAGUGAAAUCCGUAGAUAUAAGGAGGAAUACCGAUGGCGUAGGCAGGUAACUGGCUCGUCCCUGACACUAAGGCACGAAAGCGUGGGGAGCGACCGGGAUUAGAUACCCCGUUAGUCCACGCCGUAAACGAUGGAUGCUA